rnacentral:rRNA from 1 species
GAGGUGGGGAAAACCGCUGGAAACGGCGGCUAAUACCGAAUGUGGCGCCGGGAGGCAUCUUCCGAGCGCUAAAGGGGGCGAAAGCUCCCCCUCUUCGAGGGGCUCGCGCACCAUCAGCUUGUGGCGGGGUAACGCCCACCAAGGCUCACGGUUAGCUGGUCUGAGAGGAUGGCCAGCCGCACUGGGACUGAGAUACUGCCCAGACUCCUACGGGAGGCUGCAGUCGAGGAUCAUUCGCAAUGGGGGAAACCCUGACGAUGCGACGCUGCGUGGAGGAUGAAGGCCCUCGGGUCGUAAACUCCUGUCAUGAGGGAAAAGGCGAGGGGACCCAACACGUCCCUUAGUUGAUGGUACCUCAAGAGGAACGGGCGGCUAACUCUGUGCCAGCCGCGGC